ACUCCGGUGGUAUGAGAUGGACCCGCGUCUGAUUAGCUAGUUGGUGAGGUAACGGCUCACCAAGGCGACGAUCAGUAGCCGGCCUGAGAGGGUGGACGGCCACAUUGGGACUGAGACACGGCCCAAACUCCUACGGGAGGCAGCAGUGGGGAAUAUUGCACAAUGGGGGAAACCCUGAUGCAGCGACGCCGCGUGAGUGAAGAAGUAUUUCGGUAUGUAAAGCUCUAUCAGCAGGGAAGAAACUGACGGUACCUGACUAAGAAGCACCGGCUAAAUACGUGCCAGCAGCCGCGGUAAUACGUAUGGUGCAAGCGUUAUCCGGAUUUACUGGGUGUAAAGGGAGCGUAGACGGAUAGGCAAGUCUGGAGUGAAAGCCCGGGGCUCAACCCCGGGACUGCUUUGGAAACUGUUUAUCUAGAGUGCUGGAGAGGUAAGUGGAAUUCCUAGUGUAGCGGUGAAAUGCGUAGAUAUUAGGAGGAACACCAGUGGCGAAGGCGGCUUACUGGACAGUAACUGACGUUGAGGCUCGAAAGCGUGGGGAGCAAACAGGAUUAGAUACCCUGGUAGUCCACGCCGUAAACGAUGACUGCUAGGUGUCGGGGAGCAAAGCUCUUCGGUGCCGCAGCUAAC
rnacentral:rRNA from 1 species